ACAAGCCAGUAAGCAGUACCCGCUCAUGAUCUCUGCACCACCUCCUGCCUCCAGGUUCCUGGCCUGCUUGAGUUCCCCCCUGGCUUCCCUGGAUGACAGACUACAACUUAUUGGGAUGUAAACUCUCAGCUACAGUUCCAGUGCCAUGCCAUGCCUGCCUGCCUGCCUGCCUGCCUGCCUGCCUGCCUGCCUGCCUGCCUGCCACCACCCUCCCCACCUUGAUGGUAUCAGUUAACUCUCUGGAACUGUAUGCAUCACCCAAUUAAAUGCCUUCCUUGAAAAGAA